rnacentral:rRNA from 1 species
AAUAUGGCGCAAUGGAGGGAACGCUGACGCAGCGACGCCGCGUGAGCGAUGAAGGUUUUAGGAACGUCCAGCUCUGUCCUUGGGGAAGAAGGCGGCCAUUUUUGGCCACUUGACGGUACCCAAGGAGGAAGCCCCGGCUAACUACGUGCCAGCAACCGCGGUAAUACGUAGGGGGCAAGCGUUGUCCGGAAUUAUUGGGCGUAAAGGGUGCGUAGGCGGCCUUUUAAGUCAGAUGUGAAAGACCACGGCUUAACCGUGGGGUUGCAUUUGAAACUGGAGGGCUUGAGUAUCGGAGAGGGUAGUGGAAUUCCCAGUGUAGCGGUGGAAUGCGUAGAUAUUGGGAGGAACACCAGUGGCGAAGGCGACUACCUGGACGAAAACUGACGCUGAGGCACGAAAGCUAGGGGAGCAAACA